rnacentral:lncRNA from 1 species
GUCAGAGCUGGGAAGAGGCCAAGAAAGAAGAGAGCAUCUCAGCGUAGCAGCCCUUGAACGGAAUCUAUCCCAGAACUUAGAAAUACUUUCUUGGACAACCGUUUCUCCAAGGAGGACGAAGCCCCCGGGACCCAUGUGACCACCCCUGAAGAAGUGACUGCCCCAGC